rnacentral:rRNA from 1 species
UGGGGAAUAUUGGACAAUGGGCGAAAGCCUGAUCCAGCCAUGCCGCGUGUGUGAAGAAGGUCUUCGGAUUGUAAAGCACUUUAAGUUGGGAGGAAGGGCAGUAAGCGAAUACCUUGCUGUUUUGACGUUACCGACAGAAUAAGCACCGGCUAACUCUGUGCCAGCAGCCGCGGUAAUACAGAGGGUGCAAGCGUUAAUCGGAAUUACUGGGCGUAAAGCGCGCGUAGGUGGUUCGUUAAGUUGAAUGUGAAAGCCCCGGGCUCAACCUGGGAACUGCAUCCAAAACUGGCGAGCCAGAGUAGGGCAGAGGGUGGUGGAAUUUCCUGUGUAGCGGUGAAAUGCGUAGAUAUAGGAAGGAACACCAGUGGCGAAGGCGACCACCUGGGCUCAUACUGACACUGAGGUGCGAAAGCGUGGGGAGCAAACAGG